GGGGGUAUCGCUCAGUGGUAGAGCAUGUGCUUGGCAUGCAUGAGGUCCUGGGUUCAAUCCACAGGGCCUCUU
rnacentral:tRNA from 1 species